rnacentral:lncRNA from 1 species
UAAACAUGCCCAUAUACUUUUAACUCUCUCCCAUUAUCUAAAAUUCCAUCCUAGAUUUUGAUAUUUUAUUACGUUGUGUUUGGAUUAAGUAAUUGUAAUGUUCACGAAAAUUUUAAAAUCAUGGGAGUUACAAUUCCAUGAAUCUAAAUUCCAUUAAUUGAUAAUUUUAUUAUUUGGAUUUCAUUAUGUAGAAUUUUAAAAUGACAAAAAUUAGUAUUAAAACUAACCUCAGUUGAGGAAAUUGAUAAAUGACUCAUAUUUUAUAAGGAAUUCAACGAUUAUUUUCCCGUGAAAAUACAAAUUCCAUGAGAUAAGAAUCUAAAUGAUAAAAAGAGUCUAAACCAAUUAAUUAGAAAUUUUUUAUUUUUUAUUAAAUUUGUGAGAAUGCAUUCAAAUCUAAACACACCAUUAGAGUCACGCCUGAUUCAUUCGCAGCCUGAUGGGAGUGAAGGUUUCCUCUUUAGUGGCCCAAUUCUAAAAUAAAUUCAGUUUUUUUUUUUCUUUGAUUGGUGGGUUGAAGUUGAACCAGCGAUUGAACAAACACCCAGCCGCAAUAUUUGAACGAAAUUGUAUUUUUCAAUUAUGGCCGUUUAGAAAUCCAGGCCACACUAUUCUCUCUAUCAUUACUCUAUGUGCACGUUUGGUACCCGGUACUAGGUUAGACCUCCUUAAUUCUUAAGACUGUCAUGCACUAGUGUGGACUGUCUUAAAUUGUACUAAUACUGGGCCACAUUUGGUGUUGCAUGGGAUUAGGAAAAAAAGUUCUAAAUUAGAGAUGUCUCAUGUUUGGUGAUACAUUGGACUAGACUACUCUAAACAUAACAAUCUUAGUCUAACAAUCUAAACAAUCUUGGUCAUCUAACAAUAACAAUCUAACAUCUAACAAGUAACACAGACCAAGUACCUCAAAUAUGGAUAUGCCCUUAACAACUAAUAGAAACACGUGAAAGAAAUAUGCAGAAUCCAAAAGAGACCAAGUACCUCAAAAGAGACCAACAAACACAGACCAAGUACCUCAAAUAUGGAUAUGCCCUUAACAACUAAUAGAAACACGUGAAAGAAAUAUGCAGAAUCCAAAUGAGAGAAAGGAAACCUGUGAAAGAAAACCUUUGUUUGCAGCAGCAAAUCAACACCUCCAAGUUCAUGUCCUGAUUGUUCAGCAGCAGAUCAUCAUAACCUUAAUUUGUUUGCAGCAGCAGAUCAGCACCUCCAAGUUCAUGUCCUGAUGUUUACAGCAGCAGAUCAGCACCUCCAAGUUCAAGCCAAGCAACUACUGCCAGAUUCUACUGAAUCCAACGAUGACAAAGUAGCUUGUUCCCCAUUGAUGAUGAGCAUGCUACAUAAAAAAAAGGAACUAAAAUCACAAUAUAUACUACAUUUAACAAGAGUUUAAACAUGAAUUUAAUUUAUGGCACACCAUUACAAAAUAUAAAUAUGUCACUACAGUCAAUCACACUAUUAUUACUAUGUAUAUCAAACCUAGUUCAUACAGCCUAGUUCAUAUGGUAUAAUCUGUUAAUACAGUAGCAUUGAAUCUGUUAAUACAGCCUAGAUCAUAUGGUAUAAUCUGUUCACAUUUCAUUGGAAGGUUUUACACACAAAAAAAAACAACAAACAAAAAAAAUCAGUUUACCUGUUUAAUCUUGUGCACCUCCAAGUUCAUGUCUUGAAGGUUCAGCAGCAGAUCAGCACCUCCAAUUCAAAUGGUACCUGAAGGUUCAGCAGCAGAUUAUCAUAACUCAAGUAAACUUUGUUUGAGGAAUUUGACAAGAGAUGAGACUCACCUGAGCUCUGAUGAUAGCACUUCUUUUAUCCUGCUCAGCAUUUUCCUACAAAGUUAAAGUUAAAAACCAUGUAAUAUAGAGAGGGAAAAAGCAUAAACAAAACUCACAUUUAAGCUUAAUAUUAUGUGUUCAUUAUACAACAACAAAAACAAGCAACACAAAGGUUCCAAAAUAGUUACAGCCUGCUCUAAACAUACUUGCUCCCUUCAUUAGUUCUUACAUAAGAAGCCACCACAAACAAAAAAAUACAAACAUUUCACUGAUGUUCAGUCACAUGAUCAAAAAAUCAGUAAACCUACUGGUGGCUUUUAGACCAAUCAUUGCCUAUCUAUUGCUCAUAAGCAAGUUCUGAACAUAUACCCUUCUAACAUCAUCAUCCAAUGA